rnacentral:rRNA from 1 species
GACGAACGCUGGCGGCGUGCUUAACACAUGCAAGUCGAACGGAAAGGCCCUGCUUUUGUGGGGUGCUCGAGUGGCGAACGGGUGAGUAACACGUGAGUAACCUGCCCUUGACUUUGGGAUAACUUCAGGAAACUGGGGCUAAUACCGGAUAGGAGCUCCUGCUGCAUGGUGGGGGUUGGAAAGUUUCGGCGGUUGGGGAUGGACUCGCGGCUUAUCAGCUUGUUGGUGGGGUAGUGGCUUACCAAGGCUUUGACGGGUAGCCGGCCUGUGAGGGUGACCGGCGACAUUGGGACUGAGAUACGGCCCAGACUGCUACGGGAGGCAGCAGUGGGGAAUAUUGCACAAUGGGCGGAAGCCUGAUGCAGCAACGCCGCGUGCGGGAUGACGGCCUUCGGGUUGUAAACCGCUUUCGCCUGUGACGAAGCGUGAGUGACGGUAAUGGGUAAAGAAGCACCGGCUAACUACGUG